GGAAGCCUCAGAGGGGUGCUCUCCCAGGGACCUGGCCCGGCCCAGCUCCCCUCUCUGCAGCAACUCCACCAGAGUGCCCGCAGCCUCCGUGGGGUCACCAUGAGAAUGGGCACAUCUUGCCAAGAGCUUUCUGGAAGGAGCUGCAAACAGAGAAGCAAGACCACAGCUCGUGUGAAAAGGAGGCACUGGGGCCAGCAGGAUCCAGAAGGAGCCAGCCCACGGGCAGCAGAGAGGGUGGACAGGGCAGAUGGAGGGGGCCGCCCGGAGUCUGGGCUUGUCACUGCCAUUCGAGAGAGCCCGUGAAUCGUCUCGUCCAACGUUUCCAAACGUUUUCCCCCUGCAGCCACAGAGGCUUUUAAUACACACAAAAAUUCUCAUUUGGAACGCCAGUAAGAAAAAUUCCCAAAUAAAAGAAUUAAUUUACUCCUUUA